GAUAGUCUCCACCCCCGUCUCUUCCACUUCCUCUUCUCCAACGUCUACGUUUCCCCCAUUACAUUCUUUAUCAAUGAUGCUGUUAAGGCUAUUCUUCAAUGUUGUGAUCCAUCUCCUCUUCAUAAUUCUCUUAUAUAAAGCUCUAUUUUUAAGCUGAAUCCAUCAUCCUAAAUAAAAAAAAAACUAAUCUGCAAAAACUUUAACCAUGGCAAAGAUUGGAUGAAAAGAAUGCCAUCAAUCUAUUUUUAUUUUUUAAGAUGCUAAAAGGGAACAUUGAAAGGUGUUUCAGCUCGUGGCAGGACACAAACAAUAUUAGCUCUUGCAUCAAAGACGAAGCUGACCUCAUGAUUUCUUCAGAUUUUCAUCCUAAUCCAAACCUUUUUUUUGAGAAUUGUUAUUUCCUUUUUAGAUUGUUUGAUUGUAGAUAUAUUUUUGCAGGAUGAGAUUGUGAUGGAAGUCAAUGAUCGAUUUGCUAACACCACUUGUUUGUAUGUUCAUGUUGAGAGUUUAAGUAUCUCCUCGGUGUAAAACCAUUAAGUGCCAUGGCAUCUCUGAAGCUUGAGAAGAAUUGACACUAGAAGUGCUUGGUCUCAGUUCACCAGUAUUGGAUGGAUAGUAGGUCAAAUCUCCAUUUUCGUGGUCAGAAGUUAGGGAGUUUAGAUAAAGAAAGAUGCUUCACAACAUGGUAAUAUUCCUACAGGAAUAUGAACUAGAGGUCAAAGGGUUCUUAUAUAGAAGUUAGACGACGUGGUGUUAUGUGCUCUGCGGUAUCACGACACACAUGCAUUUGCAUGUAUGGUUCAAUUGAUUUCCACUGGGUGAGCUACAAUUCUUUCAUUCUUUCGUUUAUUGAAGUGCCCCUUGCUUUAUUAACAAAUGGUAAACUUUGCUCCAUUUGUCUUACAUCACCACCAAAUGGAAGUUUCUGGACGGUGUGCUCCAAGAUUUGUUAUCUUUGCAGGGUAUAGGUAAUAUGCAGGUUUUGGAGGAACUAAUGGAGUAUUUUGAUGGCGACCUCGCCGUUACAAGAUCUCUUGCCUCUUGGAGACUUUUCAGUAAAAAAGGUGAACGCUCUUUGUCGUUCCUGAUCACAGAUCCGGAUAUUCUGCAUAAGAUGAGUAAUUGAUUAUGAGAUGGGAAGUGAUGACAAUCCGGUAUGCUGCUACAUUCGCCAUGCCAAUUCUCAGGAGACACGGUGACCCAAGAAGGUGUGUGAUAGAACUUGAAGGGAAGCAUGAAGGCUUGAGUUGCUCUGCUUUACUCUGUCAUCACCAACUCCUCACAGUAGAAGAAUAAUAAUUUGUGUUUCUUAUGAAUCUCGAGCCUGGUUGGUUAUAUGCGAUUACUUUUGUAUAUAUUUGUUUGGUUGAGGUUCCAUUGUUUAUUUUGAUGGAGAGUUUUAAUAAAAUUUGUAUUUUCAAUU